rnacentral:rRNA from 1 species
UACGUAGGGGGCAAGCGUUGUCCGGAUUUAUUGGGCGUAAAGAGCGUGUAGGCGGCCAGGUAGGUCCGUUGUGAAAACUCGAGGCUUAACCUCGAGACGUCGAUGGAAACCAUCUGGCUAGAGUCCGGAAGAGGAGAGUGGAAUUCCUGGUGUAGCGGUGAAAUGCGUAGAUAUCAGGAGGAAUACCGGUGGUGUAGACGGCUCUCUGGACCGUAACUGACACUGAGACACGAAAGCGUGGGUAG